GAGUAAAAUAAACAGUGAGUGGGGGGAUCUGUAUCUUUCUUAGAGAAACUCCAGCCUGUGUAUCCCUUAUGUUUACAACAGGAGCCAGCAGGACUCUCCCCUUCCACUGCAGCACAGCAUGGCUUUACUCUGCUGUCAGUUUGUCCUUUUAAAAGUGGUGACAGAGCAGGGGACACCAGUGAUGCCAAGACAUAUUCUAGUAUAAUGCAAACCUGGCUCCUUGCUCAGGUUGCUUUGGCACUGAGGGGAAAGCAUUUGUUCAUAAUGACACUUGUCAGAACAUUGUGCUUGCUUCAUCUCUUCCCAGACAAUCCUCUGGUUUCUUCGCCUCCUCCUUCCUCCUCAGGUUUCCUUUCUUUUUUCUUGUGUCAACAAGCUACUGUGCUGUGUUUUUUGGCCUUCCAUUGUCAACUCUUUGCAAGGCUGGGGAAUUAAUUUUUCUGGGUGUUUUUCUGUGCUGGGUCAUUGGUUUGCAGGGUGUGCUGUCACUAGGCAUGUGUGAAACCUGGUACCUGAGAUAGCUGCCAUGUACCUUAUGUUGCCCUCUCCUUUUUUAGCUGCCCUCCUCCUGUGUGGGUUGUAGGGAACUGGAAACUUGGCAAACCAGCACUGUCCUAUCUGUCUGCCUGCAUUUAUGGUAUAACAGACAGUAAACACAUUAAAGGGUUCGCCAAUUACUGGUAAGGGCAUUAGUGAGUUUACUUGUUCCAUCCUGUCCUGACCAGAAUACCAAACAAGUGAGUUUACUCAGUUUUCUUUUGUUUUUCUUUUGAUAUUCAGGCCAUUGUGUCUAUCUGUCCAUUUAUCUAAAAUAUUUAUAGAGCAGCUUAGGUGAUGGGUAUGUAUAAAUGCAUUUGAUACAUAUUACCAAUAUGUUCGAUUUCUACAUUAUCUUUCAGGCUGGGGUUUGUUAUUUCUCCUGAUUUGUCUAGUAACCCAAAAGGCUGUAGAUUUUAUUCCUCUCAGCAAGUUUUUUAAUUGCUCUGGAUAUAAAUGCAUGCACAAAGGGACUUUUCCUCUUGCUGGUACUACUUGGCAAACCGGGGGGCUAACUAGCUUACCAAGUGUUUAUCUGCAAGGUGGAGAAGUCCAGACAUAUGGUCAGAGGUGAUGCUUUACACACAAGUGUAGUGAGACGGAGGGCUCCUGGUUUGCCUUGCACAAAAUCCUCCCCCAGCGGCAUGAAGAGCGGCACACACCAGCACACAGAGCAGCUCUCCCGGCCUGGCCGAGUGUUCGCUGGAGUGUGCCUGGUGUGAAAUGCACUCAGCAGCCCUGGAGCUGUACCCCGCCUCGCUGCUCGCUGUAGCAGUGCGUAGCUAACCGUCUGGAGGUGGUUUAUUGCUGGUAAAAUCUCGCAGCACACAAUUUCCAUUUACCUGUCAAGAAAAAUAUAGGGAUAAAUGAAUUUUAGAGCCAUGCACAUGUAUUAUUAAUUUUAUUUGUGCCUAUUAGGUAUGGGCCUAAGCAGCAAAAUUGAGUUCUCUAGCUUAGCUUUCACCUAAAUAUAUAGGUAUCUGGCUCUGAACUACUGCCACCUUUCUGAGAAUGAGAAAAUUUAAGUUUUGACACACCUAAACUCUGGAUACCUGUAAACAAGGUUGUCUGCCUGAAAAAUAGUCUGCUGUUAGUACAAAUUAAAGGAGUUUGGAUAUUGA